UUUAGGUUUCACAGGAAACUGGU
rnacentral:miRNA from 1 species